GAUGAACGCUGACAGAAUGCUUAACACAUGCAAGUCAACUUGAACUUCGGUUUGGGUGGCGGACGGGUGAGUAACGCGUAAAGAACUUGCCUCACAGAUAGGGACAACAUUUGGAAACGAAUGCUAAUACCUGAUAUUAUGAUUAUAUGGCAUCGUAUAAUUAUGAAAGCUAUAUGCGCUGUGAGAGAGCUUUGCGUCCCAUUAGUUAGUUGGAGAGGUAACGGCUCACCAAGGCGAUGAUGGGUAGCCGGCCUGAGAGGGUGAUCGGCCACAAGGGGACUGAGACACGGCCCUUACUCCUACGGGAGGCAGCAGUGGGGAAUAUUGGACAAUGGACCAAGAGUCUGAUCCAGCAAUUCUGUGUGCACGAUGAAGUUUUUCGGAAUGUAAAGUGCUUUCAGUUGGGAAGAAAAAAAUGACGGUACCAACAGAAGAAGUGACGGCUAAAUACGUG
rnacentral:rRNA from 1 species